AAGUCGUAACAAGGUAUCCGUAGGUGAACCUGCGGAUGGAUCAUUUUUGGAGUGUGUUUUUAUAAGUGAUGGGAAUGGUAUUGGAGGAGUGAUGGUGGUAUGACAUUGAUGAUUUAGAAAGGAUGAAAACAAAACAACUUUUAGCAAUGGAUCUCUUGGCUCUC
rnacentral:misc_RNA from 1 species